CUUUACCACUUUGGAAGUGUCUCUCGCGCAAACUAUUCAGUUUAGAAAAAAAUGAUAUUAGAAACCUCAAUAUCAUUUUUGAAGACCUAUCCAUAGAUACCCCACACGUAUGGGUAGGUCUUCAAAAAUGAUAUUGAGGUUUCUAAAAUCAUUUUUUUCUAAACUGAAUAGUUUGCGCGAGAGACACUUCCAAAGUG